rnacentral:rRNA from 1 species
UACGAGUGGUGCAAGCGUUAUUCGGAAUUACUGGGCGUAAAGCGCGUGUAGGCGGCCCGGUAAGUCCGCUGUGAAAGUCGGGGGGCUCAACCCUCGAAAGCCGGUGGAUACUGCCGGGCUAGAGUCCGGAAGAGGCGAGUGGAACUCCUGGUGUAGCGGUGAAAUGCGCAGAUAUCAGGAAGAACACCUCGGCGAAGGCAGCUCGCUGGGACGGUACUGACGCUGAGACGCGAAAGCGUGGGGGAGCAAACAGG